UGGGGAAUAUUGGACAAUGGGCGAAAGCCUGAUCCAGCCAUGCCGCGUGUGUGAAGAAGGUCUUCGGAUUGUAAAGCACUUUAAGUUGGGAGGAAGGGCAUUAACCUAAUACGUUAGUGUUUUGACGUUACCGACAGAAUAAGCACCGGCUAACUCUGUGCCAGCAGCCGCGGUAAUACAGAGGGGGCAAGCGUUAAUCGGAAUUACGGGGCGUAAAGCGCGCGUAGGUGGUUUGUUAAGUUGGAUGUGAAAUCCCCGGGCUCAACCUGGGAACUGCAUUCAAAACUGACUGACUAGAGUAUGGUAGAGGGUGGUGGAAUUUCCUGUGUAGCGGUGAAAUGCGUAGAUAUAGGAAGGAACACCAGUGGCGAAGGCGACCACCUGGACUAAUACUGACACUGAGGUGCGAAAGCGUGGGGAGCAAACA
rnacentral:rRNA from 1 species